GAAGUACUUCCUUCGUCCGGAAUUACUUGUCGCACAAAUAAAUAAAAAUGGAUGUAUCUAGGACUAAAUUACAUCUAGAUACAUUCAUUCCUAUGACAAGUACUUCCGGACGGAGGAAGUAUUUU
rnacentral:pre_miRNA from 1 species